rnacentral:rRNA from 1 species
AGAGUUUGAUCCUGGCUCAGAAUGAACACUGGCGGCGUGCUUAACACAUGCAAGUCGAACGGUAACAGAACUAGCUUGCUAGUUGCUGACGAGUGGCGCACGGGUGAGUAAUGCAUAGGUAACGUGCCCCUUAGUCUAGGAUAGCCACUGGAAACGGUGAUUAAUACUGGAUACUCCUUCUUCCUUAAUGGAAGUUGGGAAAGUUUUUCGCUAAGGGAUCGGCCUAUGUUGUAUCAGGUAGUUGGUGAGGUAAUGGCUCACCAAGCCUAUGACACAUAGCGGGUCUGAGAGGAUGAUCCGCCACACUGGUACUGAGACACGGACCAGACUCCUACGGGAGGCAGCAGUGGGGAAUAUUGCACAAUGGACGAAAGUCUGAUGCAGCAACGCCGCGUGGAGGAUGACACAUUUCGGUGCGUAAACUCCUUUUAUAUGAGAAGAUAAUGACGGUAUCAUAUGAAUAAGCACCGGCUAACUCCGUGCCAGCAGCCGCGGUAAUACGGAGGGUGCAAGCGUUAUUCGGAAUCACUGGGCGUAAAGGGUGCGUAGGCGGUUUGAUAAGUCUGAUGUGAAAUCCUAUGGCUCAACCAUAGAACUGCAUUGGAAACUGUCAAACUAGAAUACUGAAGGGGCAGAUGGAAUUAGUGGUGUAGGGGUAAAAUCCGUAGAUAUCACUAGGAAUACCGAAAGCGAAAGCGAUCUGCUGGGAAGUUAUUGACGCUGAGGCACGAAAGCGUGGGGAGCAAACGGGAUUAGAUACCCCGGUAGUCCACGCCCUAAACGAUGAAU